GUGGCAUACUUCAAUAAAACUGAAGAUGUUGAAAAGGCUCCCUUGUAAUCCAGAGCUGCUGAAGUGUGAGCUCCCACUCUGUUGGUCUUCUUGUAGGAAGGAUCUUUAUUCUAUGCCUUUGGCCUCAUGGCACUCCUCUCAGAAGACACUGGGGCCUCCUGAAGACUCCUGAGGAGGCACCAGUUUCUGAGGAAGUUGUCCUCAAAGCCAGGAUGUACUGUAUUCCACCGCUCCCAGCCCAGAGGAAGGGGCUUCCGGGCUGCUAUUCCACCACUCCCAGCCCAGAGGAAGAGGCUUCUGGGUCGCUGUUCCACCACUCCCAGCCCAGAGGAAGGAGCUUCCAGGCAGCCAUUCCACUGUUUCCAGCCCAGAGGAAGGGGCUUCCAGGCCAAUGUUCCACCACUCCUAGCCCAGAGGAGAUUUUAAAGACAGAAGACUUCAAGAUCACUGGAGACAGUCAGUCCUCCAGGCAUGCUGCCAGCGGUCACUCCUCCUGGCCCU
ensembl:lncRNA